rnacentral:lncRNA from 1 species
CGCCCGGCUACCUUUUUGUAUUUUUAGUAGAGAUGGGGUUUCACCGUGUUAGCCAGGAUGGUCUUGAUCUCCUGACCUCGUGAUCCUCCCGCCUCAGCCUCCCAAAGUGCCUGGAUUACAGGAGUAAGCCACCGUGCCCGGCCUUUUUUUUUUUUUUUUUUUUUUUUUUUUUUGACAGAGUCUCACUCUGGCUCAGGCUAGAGUGCAGUGGCAUGAUCUUGGCUCACUGCAACUUCCACCUCCUGGGUUCAAGCAAUUCUCCUGCCUCAACCUCCCAAGCAGCUGGGAUUAUAUGCGCCCGCCACCACGCCUAGCUAAUUUUUGUAGAGAUGCGGUUUCACUAUGUUGGCCGGGCUGGUCUUGAUCUCCUGACCUCAAGUAAUCUGCCCGCCUCGGCCUCCCAAAGUGCUGGGAUUACAUGUGUGAACCACUGCACCUGGCUAAAAUAAAUUUAUUUUAGAUUCAGGGGGUACAUGUGCAGGUUUGUUACAAGGGUAUAUUCCAAGAUGCUGAAGUUUGGGCUACUAAUGACCCUGUUGACCAAGCAGUGAACAUAGUACCUGAUAGGUAGUUUUUCAGCCCUUGCCCCGUAGCCGCUUUUGGAAUCCCCAGUGUUUAUUGUUCCCAUCUUUGUGUCCAUAAGUACCCAGUGUUUAGCUCCCGCUUAUAAGUGAGAACAUGGUGUUUGAUUUUCUGUUUCUGUGUUAAUUUGCUUAAGAUAAUGGCCUCCAGCUGCAUCCAUGUUGCUGCAGAGGACAUGAUUUUGUUCUUUUUUAUGGCUGCAUAGUAUUUCAUGGUGUGUAUGUGCCACAUUUUCUGUAUCGUAUUUACCAUUGAUGGGCACCUGGGUUGAUUCCAUGUCUUUGCUGUUGUGAAUAGUGCUGCAUUGAACAUGUGAGGGCAAGUGUCUUUUUGGUAGAGCAGUUUAUUUUCCUUUGGGUAGAUAGCCAGUAAUGGGAUUGCUGGUUCAAAUGGUGAUUCAGUUUUUAGUUCUAAGCUUUGUAAUAUUCCACCCUGUUUCUAUUGUAUAGGUUUUUUUUUUUUUUUUUUUUUUUUUGCUAUGCAGGACUACUGCAGUAUCUAUAGCUUUUUAGUCAGUCUCUGUGAUGAAUAUUUACGUUGUUUCCAGUAUUUAGCCAUUUAAAAUAAUGUUGCCGUGAUGAAUAACCUUGUGCACAGAGUAUUUCACAUUUUGCUGCUGUAAUUUUGGGACAUAUUCCUAGAAGUGGGAUUCCUAGGUCAAAGGGCAAGUGCAUCUACAAUUUUUCUAGAUCUGGUCAGAUUCCCCCAAAGAGGUUUUUGUAAGCAAUGAUGAUUGCUGUACCAUGUGUUUGUCAAUUGUGAAUUUGUUCCUAGCAUUUAGAAAUUGGGAGAUUCUACUUAAAAAUCCUUAUUUCCAGUGUCUUAAAAAAAAAUCAGAGAAUCUGCCUUAAUCUACCCAUGGCAACAGUUGGCUAGAGCUGAAUAACAGCUGCCCCUUUUCUAGGUACUCUCUAGGUUACUGCAGCCCCCACUUGGCCAUUUUACUUACUUUUGCUACCUAUCAGUCUCCUAUAGACAUGAGUUUUUGACCCCUGCUCUAAGUAUGGUUUUCUGGGUAGGUAGAAUGGAGACGGAGAGUUUGGGACUUGAAGACAUAGAGGACAAUUUAGAUUAUUAUGUUGUAAGAGCCACCAGUGUGAAUGUUGAUGACCCUAAAGAGGGUGGCAGGGAAUAUGACAAGGGGAUAUUAGGAACACAGGAUUGAAAUCCUUGAGGAAAGCACAUGUCCUAGAGGUCCAUGGAAGACUAACUGAAAAAGAAGGCAUAUUUUUUGUGGUUGCCAUGGUCCUAUACCAAAGAGGUUUUGUGAAGGCAGCAUUACAGAAGGUCUGGAAAGGACCAGCAGCUGGGAGCAGGGAGUGUGCUAAAGCCCUCCUGGUGUACUCUUCCUGCCUUCCCCCAUAUACUGAAGUUUGAGAGGCUGGGAAGGUGCGGAAUGGGAAAAGGAGCAGCUGCUUAUGUUCAGUUUAACAUUCUCUGGGUUUCUCCAUCUAGGUCUUGAGUUCAUUCUCUUCCUGUCCUUUUGGCUUCCUUGUUUAACCUGGUCCCUGUUUCAGGAGAGAAGCCUCAUCAGUGCCAAGUCUGUGGGAAGACCUUCUCUCAGAGUGGAAGCAGGAAUGUGCAUAUGAGAAAGCAUCACCUGCAGCUGGGAGCAGCUGGGAGUCAAGAGCAGGAGCAAACUGGUGAGGAGGGUGGGCAUAGUGGAACGCUGUACUACUUCUAGGGUUCCAAGAGCCAAAUCACUGUCCUGCCUGCUUAUCUGGAAAUUUUCUGAUUCUGUUUUGGGUAGAUAGACCUGGUCUCAUUUGAUGGGCUGAUGGUUUCCAAACAUAGCUAUACAGUAGAAUCAUCUGCAACCUUUUAAAAUUUAUAUACUUUUUGUUGCUUGUCCGCCCACCAAUAAAACAAAGCAAUCUGAUAAAUGAGAUAAUUUGCAAGAUCCUAGAAUCUGUAGUUUUAAAAGUUUCCCUAGUGAGUUUGAUGGUAACUAGUGCUGAUCCAUGAACAAGCAUUUGAGUAACACAUUUCUAAAGAUCCACCUAUCCUGUUUCAUAUGCUAAUUCUUCAGACGCUGAACACAAGCAAGGAUCAUUAUCUUCUAAGGCUUACUCUUUCCCUUCUAGGUUUAUUCUUGUUUCUCGAAAGUAGGUGAAAUAGGGGGUGGCAUCCCAUCUAUAGGUUAACUUCUAGUAAUGAAAGAGAAGGCCAGCUUCUGUUGAAAGAAAAUGAGGACCAGGCACAGCCUUGAUUGCUGUAUGUCUCUCACAACCUAUUCUCUGUGCAGCUGAGCCACUAAUGGGCAGUAGUUUGCUUGAAGAGGCUUCAGUACCCAGUAAAAACCUGGUGUCUAUGAAUUCCCAGCCCAGCCUUGGUGGAGAGUCCUUGAACCUACCAAAUACCAAUUCUAUCCUGGGAGUUGAUGAUGGUAAGACUUCCAACUCUCCUUUAUUUGGGAAAAAUGGGCUGCAACUAGGGGCUAAGGAAUGGGGUGUCUCCACAAUGUAUGUUUAAAUCUCAUUUCUUAUGAGUAGCUGUGGUAUGAGUAGCAUUUGUGUUCUUAUUCUCUGGGGUGGAUUAGUCAAUCUGUUUAAAAAAAAAAGAUAAUAUAAUAAAAGAAUAAAAAGAAAAAAUUCUUAAGAAAAAAUUAUUCCUAAUCCUAGCAUCCUAGCCCAACUAUUUCUAUCUUUCCUAUUGCAGUUAUGGAAGAACUUAACUUUUAGAACAUUUAAACAGAACAUAACCAGGUUUUACAGAGGAGAUAUAAAGCAAUUUCUCCAUACCUUCAAAAGCCAUAUCUUCUGGAGAAAAGAAAGGGCUCUCUAGGAAACACUUGCUCCUCUCUGGUAUAGAAAUUUCACCCAAGUUACACAGGCCAGGCCCUCUUCUCUGAAAAA